CCUCUCGCCAACUCUAUCAGUUUAUUUUCUCUAUCUAGAAGAAUAUCAAAUUUUACCCCCGAAACCUAAAUCUCUAAACCUAAAUCUCAGCAUCAAAAACAUUCGUUUCAAGUUUCAACCAUCGUAAAACCUAAAUCGACUAUAUGUUCUUGAAGAUAAAUUAUGAAUGGAAGGGAAAAGUUGUGUAGAAUCAAUAUCAGCAAACUAUUUUGAAGAUUUCAUCAUUGAAAGCGAUUGGAAAGAUAAGUUUAAUCUAUUUCUUAUCAUUUUAAUUUGAUUACACUCUUGAUUUGUCGAUGUCGAAAUCUGAUUUCAGAAGAAAAAAAUACAGUUCAAUAGAACCUAAUAUUUUUUAUUUCAAUUCGAAUUUAUUUUUGGAUUCAUAAUCAGAUCUUGGAUUUGUAAUUAUAUGUGAAUUUAAAACUACGAAGUUUCGCAAAAUUGUACGCAUCUAAUCUCUGCAAUUCCAUCCAUCUUCAGAUUGGUAAUCAGCGUGUCUUAAUCUUCAUUACCCAUCAAACAUAACAAACUCCAAUUGUUGAUACGUGAAAUGUGUUUAGAAAAAUCAUGUGUAUAUUUGUUUCAAGACUGCUGUACAAAAUCAUGAGUUCAACUCAUUAAAGAGUAGUAGGUCAAGAGGGAAAGUGAGGCAUAUCAAUUGAAAUGAAAAAGAAUCUGUUGUUUACUUCUAUUGAACAAAGUAAAUUACACUCCAUGCAUGUAUAAAAAAAUAGAGAGUUGAUUUUGUUGCAGGUUGAUAGGAGUUCAGUCAUGUAUAACUAGAAGAUGAUUAUGGGUUUAACCUAGUUUCAUCGAACUAUGGAAUGAGGGACCAAUAAGAGGAAACCGACGGGAACAUGAGCAAAAGCCUGAGAAGAAAACCUGAAGAGCACUAGGAUUUUCCACUUAAAAUAGAACAGCGAGAGCGCGACUUGAAAGAUUAAUACCGAAAAACUGGGAGGAGAGGGAGUAUAUCAAUGAUCCUAAUGAUGUUGAAACUGAGAGUUUGAAGAUGAUCCUGAUAUUACAGGAACUCAAUAAUUCCUAGUCCACUCGAAAGAACAGACAAUUGAUCAAACUUCUGAUAUUUGGUACAUGCAAGAUGAAGCGAGAAAAACAAAUUCGAGGGUGGUGUCAAACAAACUGGAACUCGAGAGAGCCAUAUGAUUUACCAAGCAUGGAAACUGCAGCUGCUUUAAGUCGAGUCCCUGAUGUAGCAUGGUGGAUCAACAUCAAUUGCAAGAAAUUCAGUUUAUGCUCAGGAUGACCUUCAUUAGUACCUGCAUCCACAGAGCCUCUACUACACAUCCUAAAUUGUAUAUGGAGGUACGAUUAAUCUUCUUAGUUAAGCCGCAAAAUGAAACAAGGGAAGGAUAUAAUCAUUUGUCUAAGUAAACAUCAUUUAUGGACUAGUUCAUUUUUAAAAUAUUGAUAUUCAGGUUAUUGAAGCCAAAUGAUGGUCUAAAUUGCACUGAUAUAGUGCUUGUUGUAAAUUAUAGUGCUCAAUAUUUGCCUUUCAUCAGUUUUCAAUUUUAGCAACUUGUAUGUUUGUAAUGUAUACUCAUUUUGAAUGUAACUUAUACACAGUUUUAAUGCAAUACAAUGGUUUCUUUUCUA